rnacentral:rRNA from 1 species
AAGCAGGGGAUCGUAAGACCUUGCGCUUUUGGAGCGGCCGAUGCCUGAUUAGCUAGUUGGUGGGGUAAAGGCCUACCAAGGCGACGAUCAGUAGUUGGUCUGAGAGGACGACCAGCCACACUGGGACUGAGACACGGCCCAGACUCCUACGGGAGGCAGCAGUGGGGAAUUUUGGACAAUGGGCGAAAGCCUGAUCCAGCAAUGCCGCGUGAGUGAAGAAGGCCUUCGGGUUGUAAAGCUCUUUCAGUCGAGAAGAAAAGAUUGUGAUGAAUAAUUACAAUUCAUGACGGUAUCGACAGAAGAAGCACCGGCUAACUACGUGCCAGCAGCCGCGGUAAUACGUAGGGUGCAAGCGUUAAUCGGAAUUACUGGGCGUAAAGGGUGCGCAGGCGGCUUUGUAAGUCAGAUGUGAAAUCCCCGGGCUUAACCUGGGAAUUGCGUUUGAAACUACAAAGCUAGAGU